rnacentral:rRNA from 1 species
AAUCUAUAGAGGCGUUUUCCGCGCCGGACCGCGUCCAAGUCUCUUGGAAUAGAGUAUCAAAGAGGGUGACAAUCCCGUACUUGACGCGACAACCGGUGCUCUGUGAUACGUUCUCAACGAGUCGAGUUGUUUGGGAAUGCAGCUCUAAAUGGGUGGUAAAUUCCAUCUAAGGCUAAAUAUUGGCGAGAGACCGAUAGCGAACAAGUACCGUGAGGGAAAGAUGAAAAGCACUUUGGAAAGAGAGUUAAACAGCACGUGAAAUUGUUAAAAGGGAAACGAUUGAAGUCAGUCGUGUGAAAGGUAUUCAGCCGUCUCUGGCGGUGUAUUUGCCUUUCACGGGUCAACAUCAGUUUAGUCCGGUAGAAAAAGGCUGGAGGAAGGUGGCACCCUCGGGUGUGUUAUAGCCUCCUGUCACAUGUGCCGGAUUAGACUGAGGAACGCAGCUUGCCGCAAGGCCGGGU